rnacentral:siRNA from 1 species
UUUGGGUGCUGUGUAUGUCA